UUAAUUUUGUAUUUUUUUUUCACUUAGUAGAUGAACCUACAAGUAAUAUUUUUAUAAAAUGAAAAAAAGAAAAAUCUAAUGUUUAAAAAAUGAAAAUGCCUUUGCCAGUUGAAGAUGCAGUUGAUUCGGUUAAUUUCUUCAGUACAGAUCCCGGAAUCCCAUUUCAUUUAUUGAGACGUUUAAAAGCAACGCAACCUUUUGAUCAAAGCGUUUCCACAGCAACACAGUUUAUAAACAAUCUUGGCGAAGUGUUAAAUAAGUUCAAUGAUAAAGUUAUUAAAGAUAAUCUCAGUAGUUUUCUACCUCAUUUACCAGGUUACAUUGAUUCUCCAGGCACUCAAGAAGAUAGUCUACAGCAGUUGGUUGAAAGACCACCAAUUGGUGGUAGAGAACUCUUACCUUUAUCAGAAUCUGCUCUUCAAAGCUUUCGUUUGAUGCCUGGAUCAGUACCAGAUCAAUUUAAAUUUAUGAAUAAACCAUAUGACAAGAAGAAAAAGAAAAAACAUAAGCAUAGUGUAGCAGAAACAUCACUAACGGAAUUAUCAACAGAACGAAAGCACAAAAAAACUUAUAAUGAAUUUAAAAAUCUGAAAAAAACACAUUGACUUCCAACACCAAGACAAAAUAAACCUGUCCAAGACCUAGAUAUGACCCAGCCAAGACAAAAAAAAUGACAAGUUUGGACAAGACAUAGCUUCCAAAACUAAAUAAAAGCAAGACUGGCCUUUUGACUUUACUUGUUUUCUAUGCCUUUUUUACUGGCAUUUUAUGGCAAACAAUACUCUGGCGAUAAAAGAUUAGUCAAAAUGUUUUAUUGGAUCCUAUACAAUGGAUAAGAGGAAAAGGGAAGAAGGUGAUAAAAAAAAGAAA